UGCCAGCCGCCGCGGUAAUACGGAGGGUGCGAACGUUGCUCGGAAUCAUUGGGCGUAAAGCACACGUAGGCGGCCGUACAAGUUGGAUGUGAAAGCCCUGGGCUCAACCCAGGAAGUGCAUCCAAAACUGUAUGGCUCGAGUACCGAAGGGGGUCAGAGAAUUCCCGGUGUAGAGGUGAAAUUCGUAGAUAUCGGGAGGAACAUCAGUGGCGAAGGCGGCUCCCUGGCCAAAGACUGACGCUCAUGUGCGAAAGUGUGGGUAGCGAACAGGAUUAGAUA
rnacentral:rRNA from 1 species